AAAAAAAAAAAAAAAAUAUUCUAAAUUGGAGAAAAACGUACAUUCCAACCAAACCAAAUGCACAAGGAAGCUGGAAAGAAAAUCGACAGCAUGUAACUAAGCUUUUCUAAAACAACUAUAAAGAAAAUUUCACUACUAUAUUUUCUCAUGCAUAAAAAAUACGAUCCAACCUGACCCCGCAAGUGAUCAGUCGUCGACACAUUGCGCUCACUUUUGAGCUUUAAUCACAUCUGUAAAUAUUUGUAAAUCAGAUUCAGACGGUAACCAGAGGACACAACCUAGUGUGGAUGUUUCACAAAAGAACCAACGUCUUGUUAAGAGAGCUUUCUUGCAGAAGUAAAGCAAAGGCAAGGAAGAUGCAAGACCUCUUUAUAUUAUUCCAGUGAUGCAAUACCUCAACUUGCAAGAAAGUUUCAUUAGCAUCAUAUAGCCAUUUUCAUAAUAUAAACGAGAAUAAUAGGUCAGCUAGUCGAUCCAUUUCUCUCCAUCCUGAUGUCCUUACAGUGC
rnacentral:misc_RNA from 1 species